rnacentral:rRNA from 1 species
UACGGAGGGUGCGAGCGUUGUCCGGAAUCACUGGGCGUAAAGGGCGCGUAGGCGGCCUGGCAAGUCAGUGGUGAAAGCUCGCGGCUCAACUGCGAGUCGGCCACUGAUACUGUUGGGCUUGAGUCGACUAGAGGCUAAUGGAAUUCCGGGUGUAGCGGUGGAAUGCGUAGAGAUCCGGAAGAACACCGGUGGCGAAGGCGGUUAGCUGGGGUCGAACUGACGCUGAGGCGCGACAGCGUGGGGAG